rnacentral:rRNA from 1 species
AUUGAACGCUGGCGGCAGGCCUAACACAUGCAAGUCGAACGAGUGGCGGACGGGUGAGUAAUGUCUGGGAAACUGCCUGAUGGAGGGGGAUAAAUACUGGAAACGGUAGCUAAUACCGCAUACCAUCAGAUGUGCCCAGAUGGGCUUGGCUAGUUGGUGGGGUAACGGCUCACCAAGGCGACGAUCCCUAGCUGGUCUGAGAGGAUGACCGGCCGCACGGGAACUGGGCCACCGUCCAGACUCCUACGGGAGGCAGCAGUGGGGAAUAGUGCGCAAUGGGCGCAAGCCUGAUGCAGCCAUGCCGCGUGUAUGACGAAGGCCUUCGGGUUGUAAAGUACUUUCAGCGGGGAGGCGUUACCCGCAGAAGAAGCACCGGCUAACUCCGUGCCAGCCGCCGCGGUAAUAC